rnacentral:lncRNA from 1 species
UAGAUAGACAGCAAAAUAUGGUAAGAGACGUCACCUAAAGUCAUCUGGAUAAAGUUUGGAAUAUCUUCAAUUCUCUCACAGAAGGCUGAGGUCUUAAAAAUAGAGAGAUCUCUACCCACUAAUAUUUUUGUGGACACCUUCUCCAGAUGGAUGAAUCCAAAGAUUAUAAAACUGAAAUGUAGAAGCACCAUUUUGAUAUGACUAAGGCUUGAUAGAGAAGGAAAAGAAAAAGUGCCUCUUUGUGCCUCUCUUGGAAGCUUACAGCAAACUAGAGCGCGAAGGGAAGGGAACUAAAAAAAGAUUUGAACACAAGAUGACUAGAUCCUGAUCAAAUCUAUAGAUGAACC